GAUGAACGCUGGCGGCGUGCCUAAUACAUGCAAGUCGAACGAAACUUCUUUAUCACCGAGUGCUUGCACUCACCGAUAAAGAGUUGAGUGGCGAACGGGUGAGUAACACGUGGGCAACCUGCCCAAAAGAGGGGGAUAACACUUGGAAACAGGUGCUAAUACCGCAUAACCAUAGUUACCGCAUGGUAACUAUGUAAAAGGUGGCUAUACUACCGCUUUUGGAUGGGCCCGCGGCGCAUUAGCUAGUUGGUAGGGUAAAGGCUUACCAAGGCAAUGAUGCGUAGCCGAAUUGAGAGGUUGAUCGGCCACAUUGGGACUGAGACACGGCCCAAACUCCUACGGGAGGCAACAGUAGGGAAUCUUCCACAAUGGGCGAAAGCCUGAUGGAGCAACGCCGCGUGGGUGAAGAAGGUCUUCGGAUCGUAAAACCCUGUUGUUAGAGAAGAAAGUGCGUGAGAGUAACUGUUCACGUUUCGACGGUAUCUAACCAGAAAGCCACGGCUAACUACGUG
rnacentral:rRNA from 1 species